rnacentral:rRNA from 1 species
UACGUAUGGUGCAAGCGUUAUCCGGAUUUACUGGGCGUAAAGGGAGCGCAGGCGGCGCGCCAAGUCUGAUGUGAAACCCCGGGGCUCAACCUCAAGCCGGGUCCCGAACUGGCAGCCUCGAGUGCGGUAGGGGUAAGCGGAAUUCCCGGUGUAGCGGUGGAAUGCGCAGAUAUCGGGAAGAACACCGAUGGCGAAGGCAGCUUACUGGGCCGACACUGACGCUGAGGCGCGAAAGCUAGGGGAGCGAACAGG